rnacentral:rRNA from 1 species
UGAGGAAUAUUGGUCAAUGGGCGCAAGCCUGAACCAGCCAUCCCGCGUGCAGGAAGACGGCGCUAUGCGUUGUAAACUGCUUUUCCAGGGAGAGAAACUCGCGCACGUGUUGCGCAAUUGACGGUACCCUGGGAAUAAGCAUCGGCUAACUCCGUGCCAGCAGCCGCGGUAAUACGGAGGAUGCGAACGUUAUCCGGAUUCAUUGGGUUUAAAGGGUGCGUAGGCGGACUAUUAAGUCAGUGGUGAAAUCCUGCAGCUUAACUGCAGAACUGCCAUUGAUACUGAUAGCCUUGAGUUUGGUUAAGGUAGGCGGAAUGUGUAAUGUAGCGGUGAAAUGCUUAGAUAUUACACAGAACACCAAUUGCGUAGGCAGCUUGCUGAGCCGACACUGACGCUGAGGCACGAAAGCGUGGGGAUCGAACAG